rnacentral:lncRNA from 1 species
GGUUGAGUGCCCCUGAGUUGUACUAAAUUAAAUUCCUAGUACCAAAAAAAAAAGGCGGGGAGGAGUUUACUCUGGGAUGGAAUCAAGGAUAUUCUCUUAAAGAUUCUUAGAGAAUCCUUCUAUUCUCUACCCAAUAUAACUCAGAGUUUAAUUUUUUCCUUUAGAGUAAUAAUCCCCUCGUAUAUCCCUCUUCCUCAUAUUUUGUCUUCCCCCCUUCUUUCUCUCCCUGGAGUUUCCCUUUCCACAUCCUCUCUCAAUUAGCUGCAAUGCAUUAUUUCUCAUGUCACACCUGGGCUUUUGUGUCUGUGCAUGAUUGAUAUUCUCUAUCCAUCAGAGGGGACAGAAUGCUGCUCAUCCUUGCAGACCUAACUCCAAGAAACUCCAGUACUUGGGCUCUUUACUGUGCUUGUCCAUCCCUCGGGUUUAGAAAGCUGUCUUCUCAGGAGGCUUUCCCUGACACCCCAACUCUAAGUUGCAUCACCUCAUUUUCUCACACUCAUGUUUGCAUGAGUGACAUCCACUUCCCCAAGAUGUCCUAAAUUCUUAGAAAACAGGAGUCCUGGCUUUUUGUUCAGCAACUUAUGAGUGGAUUGGGCCUGCCAUCUGUGCAUAACAGCCAGAGGAGUGCCUUGCCACCUUUGAAAAACAUUCUCAAACUAUCAGCACCUCCUGUUAAUACAUUUAUUACACUACUGUCUCAUCAACCUGGAUUGUUAGCUACAGAUGGUUGUUACAUGUCACAUACAUGAAAACAUGCUCUUUCAUGCUUUCAUCUCUUUUACCUUGUCCCCUAGAUAACAUGUCUUAGGGUCACAUUACUUGGCCUUUCAGAUAGCUCUGCAUCUAGCUUGAGGAGGUCCAGCCCCCUGUAUAUUGUAUGGAUUUAUAUUAGAGUCAAUAUUUCACAUGAACACUGUUCACUUAGUUCCUUAGUCCAGCUCUUUGCAUUUUCCCACAGCAAACAAAAACAAAACACUAUUCUGUCUAUGGAAAAUCAUCUUGAUUUACAUCACAUUUCAGUUUAGCAGGGAAGAAUACUGAAUUAGCUAGAGAGGUUCUAACAGCAAAAUUACCAGCUGGAUAUUGAUUAUGGUUUUAAAGUUUUUCGAAUCUGGAGCCAGGCGCGGUAAGCAAAUGCCUGUAAUUCCCAGCAGCUCAGGGGGCUGAGGCAGGAGGAUCACAAGCUCAAAACCAGCCUCAGCAAUGGUGAGGCGUUAAGCAACUCAGGAAGACCCUGUCUCUAAAUAAAAUUCAAAAGAGGGCUGGGGAUGUGGCUCAGUGGUUGAGUGCCCCUGAGUUCAAACCCUAAUACCAAAAAAAAAAAAAAAGACCAUGGGUAGUGGCAUGCACCCACAGUCCCAGUGUUGUGCCAGCCUAUAGGAGGAAAGACCAGACUCACAGAACGUUGUUUAUUUAGAAGAAAGCAAUGCUAAUGAUCUAUGCAACUUCCAGAAUUUGUGUUUUCUCACAGAAACCUUAUAAGUUCAGUAAUUCCAGUUUUUUUUACCAAGAUAAUGUAAUAUGUUUGAUUUUAUAAGGUGUACAAGUCUCCUAUUUUGGUGCUUUUUAAUAAAGUUUUGAUUGUGGACCAAAAAAAAAAAAAAGAUGGUGUUGGAAGUGAAGGAGAAAUGUGAAGAAGAAAUACUAGGAAAUGAUGUUGACCAAAUUAUAUUAAUAUAUUGUGUUCAUGUAUGAAUAUAUAACAUUGUGU